AUAUGUGUGUGUGUGUGUGUGUGUGAUGGUAUAAAAUAACAAAGGUCCUUGAAGUUAAUGAACGAAAGAAAGUGAUGAAUGAUGAUAUUCCAGUGUGGUUGUGUCCAUACUAAGUGCAUGGAUUCUAACAAACAACCAAUUAAAACAUGAAAUUUAAUAUGGACAUUUAAUUAAAUGUUUAUUAAUAUUUGCGGUGCGGUUCGGUUUCGAUGCGGUUUUCAAAAGCCAAAACCGAAACCAAACCGUUUUCUA
rnacentral:lncRNA from 1 species